UACAGAGGGUGCAAGCGGUUAAUCGGAAUUACUGGGCGUAAAGCGCACGGUAGUCGGCUUUGCAAGUCGGUUGUGAAAUCCCCGGGCUCAACCUGGGAACUGCAUCCGAUACUGCCCUGCUAGAGUACUGGAGAGGAGAUUGGAAUUUACGGUGUAGCAGUGAAAUGCGUAGAUAUCGAUAAGGAAGACCAGUGGCGAAGGCGGCUCACUGGCCCGAUACUGACGCUGAGGCACGAAAGCGUGGGGAGCAAACAGGG
rnacentral:rRNA from 1 species